AUUUGCAAACAUGUGAUAACAAUUUUGCAAAAACCAAAAAAAUUACAAGCAAAAAAACUGCAGGUUAUGACAAGAAUCCCAAUUCAAAGUCUAAUAACAAUUUUAAUUUUGCAUAACAACAAACCAAAAAAACUGGAGAUUACAUAUAUAUAUAUAUUAUAUAUAAGCAUUAAAAUCAUGUUUAGUUAUAUUUCUCUGUUUAUAACAUAAGAAAUAGAAAACAUAGACUUCUAUUUAAGAUGCAAGUUUUGAUAAUCUUAAAUUUCAAAAACCAAGCUGCAGUUUGUUGAUGCUCUAGAGUCGCAACUCUAAGGGUGCGCUUUGGUCAAAUCCGAUUUGACAUUUAUUUGGCCGCAGACAAUAAACUACUCUGAGGCUCGCAAGCUCUCGUCACAGUGAGUUUGAAGUUUAGCCAAUCGCAAUUGGUAAACUCAAUCCGAUACUUGUAAGCAAUCACAAUUUUCCCACGUUUAUGAAUCUCAAUUCCAAUCUGUUACUGUUUUUUAAAACAAAACGAAAGGGUUAAGACUAUAGGAGCUAAAAUUAACAAACGCUACGUAAAGUAAUUGAAAUCGAAAUUAUAAACGUUUAAGGAAAGACAAGAGAGGAGUUGAGCUGAUGAACUCUUUUCUUAACCCUUUGAAUCACUCGUUGUGUGACGGAUUCGGUGUGAUUCAAGGAUUCCAGCAUACAGCUCUAACGAACAUAGUUUCCACGAUACUCUCGAGACUUACUUUAAGACAGUGAGAGAUUGCUGGAGAUGUUUUGCUUUUGAAAUAUGUGUGAAUGUGCAACUGUUUCUCUGCUAGUGUCAACAAAGACUUGAAGCGUAACUUUCUUAUAUAUGUUUGAGAUACUUAGGUUUAAAUUUGUUUCUUCAGAAAAUUAAAACCAAGUCAAACAGAAAUAUAGGAGUUAGUUGGUGACUUGAUACUUCAACGACUCAUAUUCUCAAGGAGUUGAGGAAGUGAAGAAGACAUAUUCUUUAGGGACGUGAGGAAUGGAGUGACUUGUUUCCUCCUUUCAAGACCCGACAACCACCGGAGCUCCAACUUGAGAUAUAGGCCAUCUCUUAAGCCCAUUUCUUUUCACACAAGCUUGACAAAAAUUGUGGGGAGAUGAUUCUGAUGAACGAAAAGGGGCACAUCAUGGACUGUAGACUUGACACGAAAGAAAUCAUGUGCACCUACAUACA
rnacentral:sRNA from 1 species